UACGUAGGGGCAAGCGUUGUCCGGAAUCAUUGGGCGUAAAGCGCGUGUAGGCGGCCAGAAAAGUCCGCUGUGAAACUCGAGGCUCAACCUCGAGCUGUCGGUGGAAACUUUCUGGCUAGAGUCCGGAAGAGGAGAAUGGAAUUCCUGGUGUAGCAGUGAAAUGCGUAGAUAUCAGGAGGAACACCGAUGGCGAAGGCAGGUCUCUGGGCUGACACUGACGCUCAUGCACGAAAGCGUGGGGAGCAAACAGGAUUGAGAUACCCGGUAC
rnacentral:rRNA from 1 species